CAUUUGUAUUUUAAAUGUCUCAAUCACUUAUCUUCAAAAUUUCGAUUUGCUUUAGGUUAUCAAAAUGAGCCUAAUAAUAAGUUGACUAAGCUAAGUUAGUUAUGCAAGUAUUGGUUGUAAGCUCAUCGAUAUUGUCUUUCACUUCUUUGUGGAAAAGCCUAUCGUUAGGAGAAUUACCUGAUUAAGCUUCUUGAAAACUGCUAGCAGCUGUCUGAACAUUUUCCUGGAACAUCCUACACAUGUUUAACUUCAAUGUUUAUGAAUUUAACUGUUCCCCAGGAGAUUAAAGACUACAUUAAUGCCAUUGGUCAGAUUACCAGACAAACACCCAAACAAACCCUAACCAAAAGCACUUUCGAAGUCGAAGAUCCUACCAGCAAAAUAAAAUUCUCUCAGUGGAUAGACUUUAUGCAAAAAAUUCUUUCAAGCAUAACUUCUAGUUUGGAAAUGCACAAGUUGGAAGGAGAAACCUACACUGUGCGGAAAAAGUUGGAGCUCAUCAGCAGACAUAGUAAAAUAUUGGAAGAACUGUACACCAUCGUAACAGGCGUGACUAGCCAAGCUUGUAAAUGCGACCUAUUUGUCAAGAGAAAGUUUUGCUACUUCAUGUAUCACAGCUUAAAAGCCGUGCAUUGGGAUUUGAAAGCUUGUAUUGCCGGCCUACGAUUGGCAGAAAUGUACAUGAUAAAGGAUGAGUGUGAAAUGCUUCAAAACCUAUCAGCAGACCAAAGAGUAAGAGAUAGACAGGUUGAGCAGUUGGAAAAAAUGAAGAAGUGGAUGUUCUCCACGGCAGAAGACGAGGAACAAGAGAAAUUUAUAUCUUCACCACCAAAGAGUUAAAUCAGGAACCCAUCUGUUUCAGUGCAGUUCCACGGAGCAGAAUCAAGGACACCCUCGCCAGGAAAAAUUAAGAAGGUUCGGUCAAUGAGCCAUGGCACACGGCACGAGCCUUAUGGAUAUAUCUCCUUUAUCGCAACAGUUAUACCGUUCAAACUAAAGGACAACAAUUUGGAGCUACAAUUUAAGAACAAAACAAGGUGAAGGAACUAUGAAAAUACAGACCAGCCUGUCUCUUAUUCUCCAAGAACACGCAAGAAGCCUUCCUAUCGCCCAAGACGAUCCAUAGGCCCUGUUUGCCCAAAAUUGGAGUUGAAAAGUCGUCGAGACCGCAUUAUUAAUAUUCUAUCCAGAGGGAGGAACUUCUAAAGUAUUAGAAAUCAGUGGACUUGUCUCUUCCAACGAGGAGUCUGGAAAAAGAGAAAAAUAGUCUGGAAAAUAGUCCGGAGUUUUAUCAACUUCAUACAAAAACUCAUUUACGAGAUGAAAUAUCUUUGGUAUGGCAAGCCAUUUGUAGCAAUAUUCAAAAAUUAUUUCAUUCAACCAUUCAACUGAAAUUCAACCGUUCAAUUCAAACCCAAUUCAACCAUUCAACACCCCCAUUCAACCAUUCAAGAAUCUAUUCAACUAUUCAACCCCAAUUCAACUAUUCAACCCCAAUUCAAGUAUCCAACCCCAAUUGAACUAUCCAACUCCAAUUGAACUAUCCAACCCCAAUUCAACUAUUCAACCCUAAUUCAACUAUUCAAUCCCGCAUUCAACCAUUCAAUCCCGCAUUCAGACCCGAUGGUUGCAGGACUGAGUAACCUGUCACAAUUACACGAAAGACGUCCUAAGACGUCUUUUGUUUACUUGGAAAUAUUGUACACAGUAAGUAUUCCUUCGAUUGACAUUUAUAACAAUGUAACGUAUUUCUUCAGACAGGUUCAAUAAAAGAAUGAAAUCAAAAUUGAAUUAAAAAGAGAAAAAUCGAGUUUCCAGAUGGGAUUU